rnacentral:rRNA from 1 species
UACGUAGGGGGCAAGCGUUGUCCGGAUUUAUUGGGCGUAAAGAGCGUGUAGGCGGUCAGGUAGGUCCGUUGUGAAAACUCGAGGCUCAACCUCGAGACGCCGAUGGAAACCAUCUGACUAGAGUCCGGAAGAGGAGAGUGGAAUUCCUGGUGUAGCGGUGAAAUGCGCAGAUAUCAGGAAGAACACCCGUGGCUAAGGCGGCUCUCUAGUACGGUACUGACGCUGAGACGCGAAAGCGUGGAGAGCGAACAGG